rnacentral:rRNA from 1 species
UACGUAGGUGGCAAGCGUUGUCCGGAUUUACUGGGCGUAAAGAGCGCGCAGGCGGUCGUUCAAGUCGCGUGUGAAAGCCCCCGGCUCAACUGGGGAGGGUCGACGCGAUACUGAUCGACUCGAAGGCAGGAGAGGGAAGUGGAAUUCCCGGGUGUAGUGGUGAAAUGCGUAGAUAUCGGGAGGAACACCAGUGGCGAAGGCGACUUCCUGGCCUGUUCUUGACGCUGACGG